rnacentral:lncRNA from 1 species
GAGCUUUUUGCCCAGGUGUUUCCAGCAAGGCCCCAGGGGGGCCCCAGGGGCAACACCUGGGGGCACUGUGCAGGGAGGGCAUUUAUCGAGCAGCUCAGGCCUUCCUUAGCUUUUUGUGUGGCAGUUGCGGGGCUGUCUGCUGCCUGAUGUCCCACUUGGGCUCAAGCUUUUGGCUGUUUUUGUUUUGUGGUUACAUUUCCCCAUGGCUGUAGGGGCAGCCUGGCUUUUGGAUCUGCUCAGCUUUGCCUCCCUCGACCUCCCAGCUGCGUGGAUAAGGCUUCUCAGCUGUCUUGGCAAGGUGGAUUCUCCGUGGAAACUCUGAUAAUCGCCUGCGAGUGCCGGGAAGGUGUCAACGCCGAAUGCGGGGAAGCAUCGGGCAGAAGGAAGGGUUCGCUCGGGAGCUGGGAGGGACUGGUGAGUCAGCCAGGCCUUGAAGAUUGCAGGGCACGGAAUAUUAUCCUCAAACAAGGGUCUCAUCUGGAGAGCUCCAGGCACGCUGGCGAUGGGCAGGAGACGCGAUCUUACCCGCUUCUGCAUUCCGGACAAGCGGCGCCAACGUUUCAAGUGAGAAGCUGGCAUGACUCCAGCAACCAAAAAACCAAACCCGUGAAACGCAGAAGUGCGGUGCCCAAGGUCUGCAAAGUGCUUUGUCCUUGUGCUUCACGGAAGGGGUCACCCCAGACAGAGCUCUCCUCCUGCCCCACCACAAGCUGAUGGAGCCACUGCUCCACGGAGCCCUCCAGCCAUAAUAUCAGACAGCUGGGACCUGCUACGGACCUCCAGGGUGUUGAUACAGG